AGCGAGUAGGAGGUGUUGAAUAUCUCUGGGCCAAUUCGGCAUCACAGAGGACAGCUGCCUGCCCUGGCAGUCCAGUUUGCCUGCUGGGCCCCUCUCCCCAUCCUUUGACCGCGGGCCUUUCCGGGGUUCAGCCGAGCAGAUGAGCAUCAGCAGCAGGAGGGAGGUGAUGACGCGCAUGAUGAGGGGGUGGAGAAAGAGGCUUCCGGAGGGUUGAAGUGAAGGGACACAGGAGGCUGGUCAAACCUGCGGUCACACCUGCACUUAGCAACAGAACAGUUGCAAACUGUCUGAGCCACCCACAAAGGAAGUGCAUGCUCCGAGGAAGCUGGAAUAACCUCGGGGGAUGGAAAGAGUUCAGGCGUCCAAAGGAAAGAGUUCACAAACACAAAGGUCGGUGUGUUUUAGAGGAAAAAAGAGAAACCGAGUGAGCUUCCAUUCAUUCUAAGCGUCGUACACAGUGGAGAUGUCCAUCAGUGAGGCAUUUAAUUCAAGACAUUUUUUAUGUCCACCCAUUGGGAUAAGUUCCACGUGUGUGUGGCAAAAUGGUGAAUUUCAGACUGAAAAAGUAAAGGUAUAUGAAUUGCAAAGAAAAAGCAGCGGGUGAGAGGGGGAAAGCAUGUUUUAUGUUUGUAUGGAGCCAGCAAGAGAGAAGCCUCAGACAACCAUGAGAGCCUAAUUGGAACCAGACGAGUUCACCUCUGUAGCCUGGAGAAAGGAAGACUAAAAAAAAA